AACGUAGGGGGCAAGCGUUAUCCGGAAUUACUGGGCGUAAAGGGCGUCUAGGCGGCCUUUUAGGUCCCGUGUGAAAUCUCCCGGCUCAACUGGGAGGGUGCACGGGAAACCGUAAGGCUAGAGACUCGGAGGGGGGUGCGGAAUUCCCGGUGGAGCGGUGAAAUGCGUUGAUAUCGGGAGGAACACCCGAGGCGAAGGCGGCACCCUGGUCGAGAUCUGACGCUGAAGCGCGAAAGCGUGGGGAGCGAACGGG
rnacentral:rRNA from 1 species